rnacentral:rRNA from 1 species
AUGAACGCUGGCGGCGUGCCUAAUACAUGCAAGUCGAACGAAUCUCUUUUAGAGAUGAGUGGCGAACGGGUGAGUAAUACAUAGGUAACCUGCCCCUGUGCGGGGGAUAACAGGAGGAAACUCCUGCUAAUACCGCAUAGCCAUGAGCACCGCAUGGAGCUCAUGCCAAAUAUCCUUUCGGGGAUAGCGCAGGGAUGGACCUAUGGCGCAUUAGCUGGUUGGCGGGGCAACGGCCCACCAAGGCAACGAUGCGUAGCCGGCCUGAGAGGGCGGACGGCCACAUUGGGACUGAGACACGGCCCAGACUCCUACGGGAGGCAGCAGUAGGGAAUUUUCGGCAAUGGGGGAAACCCUGACCGAGCAACGCCGCGUGAGCGAAGAAGGCCUUCGGGUCGUAAAGCUCUGUUGUAAAGGAAGAACGGCGCAUACAGGAAAUGGUAUGCGAGUGACGGUACUUUACCAGAAAGCCACGGCUAACUACGUGCCAGCAGCCGCGGUAAUACGUAGGUGGCGAGCGUUAUCCGGAAUCAUUGGGCGUAAAGAGGGAGCAGGCGGCCGCAAGGGUCUGUGGUGAAAGACCGAAGCUAAACUUCGGUAAGCCAUGGAAACCGGGCGGCUAGAGUGCGGAAGAGGAUCGUGGAAUUCCAUGUGUAGCGGUGAAAUGCGUAGAUAUAUGGAGGAACACCAGUGGCGAAGGCGACGGUCUGGGCCGCAACUGACGCUCAUUCCCGAAAGCGUGGGGAGCAAAUAGGAUUAGAUACCCUAGUAGUCCACGCCGUAAACGAUGGUCACUAAGUGUCGGGGGUCAAACCCCGGUGCUGCAGUCAACGCAAUAAGUGACCCGCCUGAGUAGUACGUUCGCAAGAAUGAAACUCAAAGGAAUUGACGGAAGGG